GGUAUUGUUGAAAUGUGCAGUCCAGCUUUUACCUCAGACCCCAUUAUAGGAAGUCAAAGAGUGUAGUCUCAUAGAAAAGACACACCCAUCAAGUUGCUUUUGCUCAGCUAGUGAGCUUGUUGUUCUGCUAUUCCCCAAUUUCUGCUGCUGCGGAAGACUGCGACACACAUGGCUAGAUUGUUGCUAUAACUAUGACUAUUUGUCAAUAGUCAAAAAAUUGCUCAAUUUAUCUUUUUUUUUUUUUUUUUUUUUUUCUAUUUGGAGAUAACACUGCGGGCUUCAGAGAUACCAAAUUUUUGGGGAUUAUGAAACUUCCUCAGCACAUUUCAUGAGCUGCUUCCCCUUUUUUCAGUGGAGGAUGAGAAUUUGAAGAUUCAAGUGAAGACCAUGGUUACGAGAAUAAAAAAUAUAUCUGAACUGAAAGACUCUGGAUUUGGUCGACCUUGGCCCAGACACGGACUCAAACUGUUGUUCUGGUUUGCUGAUCACUGUAUUUCUGUUUAUAACAAUGACAUGUUCCUCCAUUGCAACCCUGCAAGUGAA